UAUGAAUAAAAGCACAACACACAUCUCUGACUGAUCAUUCAUUUGGUUUUAUUCAUGUCAAGGCAAACUACACUCUAGCUGUAAUGGCAUUAUACAAUGCCAUUGUAUAAUAGCUUACAGAGGAUGUUAUGAAAAGAGUUCACUAUUCAUAUCCGGAACACGGCUGCAUUACGACACCAGCGAAAUUGAUGAGCAGCUCUACUAUCUCGGUUGUAGCUCGGCGGACGAGAGUAUUUCACUUCUUAUUUCUGCAUUUCUUCCGAAUCUAUCUCCCCACUCAGCUAUGCAGGUGUGUAAGGGGUGAAGUUCUCAAUGGGAGCCGAGACUAUCGCACAGUGCCAGUAGAGAGACACCGAUGAAGUGUCAGUCAUGCUGGUGGCUGGCAGCGACGGCAGAGCAGAGCGUGACAUGCCAGUGUUUUUUCCUGAGGGGAUGUGUGUUUUCUUGGUCUUGGAUCCACGGAGUGAUAGCAGAACGUUCCAUUUAUUCUAUGGUUCUUUCCUUCCCUUCUUAUUUCUGCCACCAUGGCAUGAUCCAGAGCAGGGCGGUGUAACUGGGUGAUUCAACAUCACUGUUAUAGUGAUAGGAAGAGACACCAAGGAUUUUGCAACAAGGGCAAGUAGGAAAACCGUAAAGGUUAUUUUCCCCUUCAUAAUCAACGCAGUUCUCUCUGGCAGUGUUCAAGCCUUAGCAGCAGUCAAUCUGAGUGUUUCUGACUUCUGGCUGAUUUGUUCUUCUUCUGAUGAUGACAGUUGGCAGCUCUCUUCUGGUUUCUUCGGACAGCUCAGUGUCAGUGAGUAGAGAGGCAGUGCUGGUUUUAUAGUGACUUGUAUUUCCAUUCACUUACAAAAGUGAGACAUACAUUUCUCCUGUAGAUUAGUAGUAUGAUUCGUCCGGGUAGGAUAACUUACUGUCUAUUUUCUAUCCAAUACAGCUUGGUUUUAUAGUGACUUGUAUUUCCAUUCACUUACAAAAGUGAGACACAAUUCUCCAGUAGAUUAGUAGUAUGCUUCGUCUGGGUAGGAUAACUUAAUGUCUACUAUUUUCUAUCCAAUACAGCUUGGUUUUAUAGUGACUGACUUGACAUGCCAUUUCAUAUCCUAAUUCAUUCAGAUAACCUUCCUAAUAAGUGUUAUUGUAGAUAUUGAGAGAUGACUGUAGUCUACUAGAGCACUGUCGAGUCGGGAGUCUUGUCAGACCGAGACACUGAGAAUGCAGAGCACAGUUCGUUUUCUAACAGAACAAAGACUGAAUAUACCAAAGCCACUGCAUCACAGAGAAUUGUGCCAAACCAGCCCUGAUAACAGCGUUGAUCACCUCUCCCACGAACAUAACCUUUUAUAAGGACUUUUUGCAUUAUGCACGGAUCAAACAAUGAAGUGAAAUACUCGUCCGCCGAGCCAAAACGAGCUUCACCCGAGACAGUAAAGCUGCUCCGCUGCUUCACUGGUGUCAUAACGCAGCCAUGUUCCUGCCUCUGACUACCAUCGUCCUCACAGAGCCCAGCCUCUCUUCUCCGGACCGGCAACACUACAGCUGCUCCUCGGAGUGAAGCCGCUUUUCGAGCGUCAAAAUUGGAAUUAUUCUUUGGAGCUCUCUCACAUAUAAUAGGCCUACAUAGCACACAGAGGUAUACAGUAAAACAGUCAAAUGGAACAAAUAAAACAUUUCUAAAAUCCUCUAUGAUGUCCUUUCUUUUCUUUGUGUUCAGCUCCAGGUUGUUUCCACUGCACAUCGCUGUUAGACACUGCGCUUCUUGUCUGUCUAUAGGCUGUCUCGUCGUUGUUAUUGACGAGCCUUAGGACGUUUUUAGUCUCACAAUGGAUUUUGAGGAGCCCCUUUUCUUAUAGUGCUGUGAUAAUACAAACAUACAGCCUCCUUAAUAUCUACACAUAUUAUUUGAAAGACUGAAGACGGAGCGUUCUGCAUGAAAGGUGUACUUUAUUAUUGUCAGUGACAUGGCACACAACCAUUGGUUGAUGCAAUGUGGCGUGUCAAUUGUAGGCGGCCUCGUACAAAUUCAGUGGGCUGGGCUGCAGAGGAAGUCAGCAUUUCUUCCGA
rnacentral:lncRNA from 1 species